rnacentral:rRNA from 1 species
AUACGGAGGAUGCGAGCGUUAUCCGGAUUUAUUGGGUUUAAAGGGAGCGCAGGCGGAGAUGCAAGCGUGACGUCAAAUUUCGGGGCUCAACCCCGUCUCGCGUCGCGAACUGCGUCCCUUGGUUGCGGGAAGGGGAGGCGGAACUCGUGGUGUAGCGGUGAAAUGCAUAGAUAUCACGAAGAACUCCGAUCGCGAAGGCAGCCUUCCGGCCCGUCAACGACGCUCAUGCUCGAAGGUGCGGGUAUCAAACAGGAUUAGAUACCCUGGUAGUCCGCACAGUAAACGAUGGACACCCGCGGUUUGGCCUGUAUGGCUGAGCCGCCAAGCGAAAGCGUUAAGUGUCCCACCUGGGGAGUACGCCGGCAACGGUGAAACUCAAAGGAAUUGACGGGG